GCAGUGGCGCUCAGUGGUUAGAUCACCUGCUUUCCAUGCAGAAGGUCCCAGGUUCAAUCCCUGUCAUCUCCA